ACGGGUGAGUAACGCGUAAGAACCUGCCCUUGGGAGGGGAACAACAGCUGGAAACGGCUGCUAAUACCCCAUAGGCUGAGGAGCAAAAGGAGGAAUCCGCCCAAGGAGGGGCUCGCGUCUGAUUAGUUAGUUGGUGAGGCAAUGGCUUACCAAGGCGACGAUCAGUAGCUGGUCCGAGAGGAUGAUCAGCCACACAGGGACUGAGACACGGCCCAGACUCCUACGGGAGGCAGCAGUGGGGAAUUUUCCGCAAUGGGCGAAAGCCUGACGGAGCAAUGCCGCGUGAAGGCAGAAGGCCCACGGGUCAUGAACUUCUUUUCUCGGAGAAGAAAAAAUGACGGUA
rnacentral:rRNA from 1 species